rnacentral:rRNA from 1 species
UACGUAGGGUGCAAGCGUUGUCCGGAAUUAUUGGGCGUAAAGAGCUCGUAGGCGGUCUGUCGCGUCUGCUGUGAAAAUCCAGGGCUCAACCCUGGACCUGCAGUGGGUACGGGCAGACUAGAGUGCGGUAGGGGAGAUCGGAAUCCUGGUGUAGCGGUGAAAUGCGCAGAUAUCAGGAGGAACACCGGUGGCGAAGGCGGAUCUCUGGGCCGUAAGCUGACGCUGAGGAGCGAAAGCAUGGGGAGCGAACAGG